rnacentral:rRNA from 1 species
CGCGACCUCAGAUCAGACGUGGCGACCCGCUGAAUUUAAGCAUAUUAGUCAGCGGAGGAAAAGAAACUAACCAGGAUUCCCUCAGUAACGGCGAGUGAACAGGGAAGAGCCCAGCGCCGAAUCCCCGCCGCGCGUCGCGGCGUGGGAAAUGUGGCGUACGGAAGACCCACUCCCCGGCGCCGCUCGUGGGGGGCCCAAGUCCUUCUGAUCGAGGCCCAGCCCGUGGACGGUGUGAGGCCGGUAGCGGCCCCCGGCGCGCCGGGCUCGGGUCUUCCCGGAGUCGGGUUGCUUGGGAAUGCAGCCCAAAGCGGGUGGUAAACUCCAUCUAAGGCUAAAUACCGGCACGAGACCGAUAGUCAACAAGUACCGUAAGGGAAAGU